CAAUACGUUAGUGGCGCACGGGUGAGUAACACGUGGGAACCUAUCUUUCGGUUCGGAAAAACGGAGGGAAACUUCCGCUAAUACCGUAUACGCCCUUAGGGGGAAAGAUUUAUCGCCGAUUGAGGGGCCCGCGUCUGAUUAGCUAGUUGGUGAGGUAAAGGCUCACCAAGGCGACGAUCAGUAGCUGGUCUGAGAGGACGAUCAGCCACACUGGGACUGAGACACGGCCCAGACUCCUACGGGAGGCAGCAGUGGGGAAUAUUGGACAAUGGGGGCAACCCUGAUCCAGCCAUGCCGCGUGAGUGAUGAAGGCCUUCGGGUUGCAAAGCUCUUUCGCACGCGACGAUGAUGACGGUAGCGUGAGAAGAAGCCCCGGCUAACUUCGUGCCAGCAGCCGCGGUAAUACGAAU
rnacentral:rRNA from 1 species